CCUCCCGUACCGGACCCCUGCGAAGAGCGGGCAGCAGGAGUGUACAAAGAAUUUUACUAAACAGGAAGGAGCAGAUGGGAGAGCGAGCAGGACGUCCCUUCACUCCGCGCGAGAAAACUGAUGCUUGGAGAGGUGGCUACUUGCCUAGGAUCACACAAUGACAAUUAGCACGUGUAUGGAACUUGCUGUGUGCCUGCACCAUGACAGUGAAACUCAUCUAAUCCUUACAACAACCAGAUGGAGUAGUUAAUUCCAUUUUACAGGAGGGAAGAACCAAGGCUCAGCAUUAAGUUUGCCCACGCCCCGCCGUGGGCUUCCUGGGCGCACAGCCAUUCAGCCGACCACCCAGCAUGCACUGGACCCCAGCUAUGUCCUAGGAGAAGGCACUUCUGCCCUGCCCCUCAGCAGCCCACAGCCCAGUGAGAGACAUGCACACAUACGCUGAUGAGACAUAAUAGAGGUGAGGAGAGGAGGGAGAGUCAUGUAAGGGCAUGGGAGGUAGGGGAAGGUUUCCCAGGCGUGGAACUUUCUGGAUGAAUAGCAGAGGAAACAGCAGGAGAAAAAGCACCGAGACAAGAAACCCGUAAAGGUGGCCGGAAUUUCCUGAUUCACCUCUCAAGUCCCUACCUCUUGGCCAAGCCCUCAAAACAUCUCCUGGAAGUCACUUCAAGCAAAAUUCAUUCCAACCACUAUUUCCCUUUUCCUCUAACACACCCUUGAGUGCAGCGGUGUUUUCUGUGUGUGUGUGUGUGUGUGCGCACGCGUGUGCAAAUGUAGCUCCCCUCUGUGUAUCUCCCAAAGUCCCAUAUAAUGCUUCUGUUUCCUAAGAAAAAAAUGUUAAUUGUUGGAAAUGUGUUUUAAACUGUAAAAUUACAUUAAGUAAGCUCUGUAAACUGUGAAACAUAAGUUCCAAUGCUGUUGGUUCUGGGACCCUGUAAAAAUCCACGUCUUCGCCUUUAAGGUAGAAGUAACUAUAAAUGCAAAGAAAGGCUAUGAGCGCCCCCUUGUGGAGAGACCUACCGCUGCCGGGCCUGGGCCCCGCCCCCUGGCCAGCUCUGUCCCUUCAGUGAGUGACCCCACCCAGGUUGAAAGCCUGGAAAUGGCUUUUGACUUUGUGCCUCCUUCCUUCCCUCCCCAAGCUGGCUCUGAGACCUGCUGCACCUUUCCCCUUCCUCCCUCCAUCUCAGGCCAACUUCCUGCCACGCCCCACUCCAGCCAGGCUCCCUAACCUCUGACCCACCUUGGCCUCCCUGCCUCCAAGCUGCUCCAGUCCACCCUGAAACCCUGCAACUGAGGGGCAGUUCAGGGCCCUCCUGCAGGGAUUUUUCAGACUGUUCUGACCAUGCCCGCUUCAGCCCAGUCCUCAACCCCAGCCUCUGUCUUCCACACCCCACAAAUGCCAGAAUCCUGGCCCAAGAGAACUCCUUUU